GGUGGGGAUUAGUGGCGAACGGGUGAGUAACACGUGGGCAAUCUGCCCUGCACUCUGGGACAAGCCCUGGAAACGGGGUCUAAUACCGGAUACUGAUCCGCCUGGGCAUCCAGGCGGUUCGAAAGCUCCGGCGGUGCAGGAUGAGCCCGCGGCCUAUCAGCUUGUUGGUGAGGUAGUGGCUCACCAAGGCGACGACGGGUAGCCGGCCUGAGAGGGCGACCGGCCACACUGGGACUGAGACACGGCCCAGACUCCUACGGGAGGCAGCAGUGGGGAAUAUUGCACAAUGGGCGAAAGCCUGAUGCAGCGACGCCGCGUGAGGGAUGACGGCCUUCGGGUUGUAAACCUCUUUCAGCAGGGAAGAAGCGAAAGUGACGGUACCUGCAGAAGAAGCGCCGGCUAACUACGUGCCAGCAGCCGCGGUAAUACGUAGGGCGCAAGCGUUGUCCGGAAUUAUUGGGCGUAAAGAGCUCGUAGGCG
rnacentral:rRNA from 1 species